rnacentral:lncRNA from 1 species
GACUGCGCCCAUCUCUUGCCUAACCUCAGAAGCAGUCUUGGCAUUUAUCAAUCAGUAAACAGUCGAGCCAGCACCCGGAAGACAUCUCCCUAAUGCUGCAAGUUGGAGGGUCAUGGAUGAAGCUGGAAGCCAUCAUUCUCAACAAACACAGGAACAGAAAGCCAAAUACCACAUGUUCUUACUCGUAAGUAGGAGGUGAACAAUGAGAACACAGGGAGGGAACAUCACACACAGGGGCCUGUCAGGGGGUGGGAGGCAAGGGGAGGGAGAGCAUUAGGACAAAUACCUAAUGCAUGUGGGGUUUAAAACCUAGAUGACGGAUUGAUAGGUGCAGCAAACUACCAUGGCACAUGUUUACCUGUGUAACAAACCUACACGUCCUGCAUGUGUAUCCCAGAACCUAAAGUACAAUUUUAAAAGAAGAAAAUGCUCAUUUCUGGCUGCAUGUCAGAAUUACAUGAGGGCUCUUUAGCAAGGUGGGCUGAUGACACCCUCAGUGGGACUAGGGAAGGCCUGGGUGUGAGCACCAUUUGAAAGCACCCCUGCCCCGCAAAAUAGGUGACUCUGGCAUGCAGCCAAAGCUGAGAAGCCCUGGAUUUCUGGCUCAUGCUGGAGAAGAAAAGUGUCCUAAGUCAACACUCUCUUAUCCUUUCCCAACUCCUUUGUUUUCCUGAAAUUUUUUGGCAUCUUUUUAAAAGAUUCCCCAGUGAUGAAACAACUACCCUGUCGUCUUCAUCCUUCCCAUAUUUCAUAUUAUAUUUCUAAUUCUCUUCCCAUUUGGAUCUGCUUUGUGAAGGUUUUUGUUUUAUUGUUUUUAUUUUCUAAUUUCUCCCCAACCUCAGCUCUCCCCCACCCCCCACCCCACUUCUGUGGUGCAGCUCGGCUCAUGCAAACAGCUUCAGGACCAGCAGCGGUAUGGAUAUUUUUGACUGUGCAGCUGCAGUCUCUCUGGGAGCUCAGCUACAGAAAUCCCAUGAAGAUAGCAGGAUCCGAAAGAGAUAACAGCGCCUGCGUUUCUGCUGCUUACUGCAAGGACUUUGCAGGCCCUGGAGGAACCCGGGCCAGCUCUGAGGCGGGGGAGGUGGGGGGAUGGACUGCUGCUCACCCUCCUUCCUUAGCAUCUUUUCUGCCACAUUCCUCUGCAGGUCAACAGCCAGAGAGGGUGUCUGAGACCUCCUCAGGGUGCCCCACAACUAGUAUUUGGGAAACCAGUAUCUCAUGCCACAAAUAA